rnacentral:rRNA from 1 species
UACGAAGGGGGCUAGCGUUGUUCGGAAUUACUGGGCGUAAAGCGCACGUAGGCGGAUUGUUAAGUUAGGGGUGAAAUCCCAGGGCUCAACCCUUGAACUGCCUUUAAUACUGGCAAUCUCGAGUCCGAGAGAGGUGAGUGGAAUUCCGAGUGUAGAGGUGAAAUUCGUAGAUAUUCGGAGGAACACCAGUGGCGAAGGCGGCUCGCUGGCUCGGUACUGACGCUGAGGUGCGAAAGCGUGGGGAGCAAACAGG